rnacentral:rRNA from 1 species
AUGCAAUGUGAUGCUGCGUCGCUCAGCCCAUUGUACAGCUUGUACCUUUAUGUGACUCCUGAAGGGCGCAGCCUGUCCGAGAUAGCCUCCCUCUUCAAUGGCAGUACAUCUCCCACCCAGCCCAUCAAGCGGCUCUCUGGUUCAGAGGACUUGCUGAUCCGUGUGCCUUGUGUGCGUGAUGCAAUCAACGUCACCAUGAGUGGUCUCUUCCAUGAUACUGAAUAUAAGGUGAAUUUAAACGACACGGCUGACAACAUCAACAGUAACUUUAGCGGGCUUGCAUGGAACAUUAUUGUUACAGCAAACAAGACAAUUACGGUUCACCUUCUUUGUGGUUGUUCCUCCACGGGGCCGGAGGGGGUGUUGUCCUACACAGUCCAGCCUGGAGAUACACUGAGCAACAUCGUAACCUUGUUUGAAUCAGGCUCGAGGGAGAUCCUAAGCUUGAAUGUGGGGGUCACAAAUCCUGAUUUUAUUAACCCGGGUUGGAUCUUGUUCAUCCCGAUGGGAGUUGCUGAUUCAAACACAUUUAGAGUUUUUGGUUUACCGAUCAUAAUUGCAGUAUCAAUAUCAGCUGCAAUUAUGCUCCUUUUGACGUUCACAAUUGUACUUCUCCUGAAAAGGAGACCUCCGGUGCCCAUUGUUGAAGUGCCAAAGAAAGAGAUGGAGAGAGUUCGCAGCAACACAAGUAUAGCUAUCCUGGAGUGCCAUUACUUUCCAUCCAAGAGGAUUGAUGAUAUUGAUCCAUUCCAAACAGAGAGACCUGUGAUUUUCAGCCUGAAAGCGAUUGGAGACGCCUCAGUUAAUUUUGAUGAGAAGAGGAAGAUUGGUGGUGGAUAUGGCAUGGUCUACCUAGGUUUCAUAGGAACACAUGAGAUUGCAGUUAAGAUGAUGAAAGACAACAAAUCAAAGGAGUUCUUUGCUGAGCUGAAAGUGAUGUGCAAAGUACAUCACAUGAAUAUGAUUGAGUUGAUUGGCUAUGCUGCUGGGGAGGAUCACCUAUACCUUGUUUACGAGUAUGUUCAGAAUGGAUCACUUAGUGAGCAUCUACAUGAUCCUUUGCUGAAAGGUCAUCAACCUCUCUCAUGGACUGCAAGAACACAGAUAGCAACGGAUGCUGCACGUGGUAUUGAGUAGAUCCAUGACCAUACGAAGGCCUGCUAUGUGCACCGUGACAUCAGAGCAAGCAAUAUUCUGCUAGAUGAUGGACUAAGAGCUAAAGUUUCGGAUUUUGGCCUGGUAAAGCUUGUUGAGCGCAGUGAUGAAGAAGAUUGCCUGGCAACUCAUUAUGUUGGAACGCCAAGCUACCUCCCACCGGAGUCAGUUCAUGAGCCUCACAUGACUACGAAGUCUGACGCCUAUGCGUUUGGAGUAGUUCUUGUAGAACUGAUUACUGGUCUCAGUGCACUUGUGCGGGUCAAUAAGGAAGCUAAUAAGACAAUAUCUCAAUUUGAACAGAUGAGAAAAGCUUUCAAAUCAGCUGAUGUGGAGAGCUCACUGGAGAAAAUCAUAGAUCCCUCCUUGAAGGACAACUACCCCAUAGAAGAAGUGUGUAAGCUGGCAAAUAUUUCGAUGUGGUGCUUGAGUGAGGAUUAAUUAGACCCUGAGAUGAGGGAGGUUAUGCUAAUGCUGUCUCAGAUUGAUCUGACCUCCAUAGAGUGGGAGGCAUCACUAGGAGGCGACGGUGAAGUCUUUAGUGGCAUUUUCAUUGGUAGAUGA